rnacentral:lncRNA from 1 species
GGAAGUGUGGGUGUGUCGCCUGGAACAAGGAGAAAAGAGGGGAAAACCCUCUUAUUCAACAAAUCAGUGAAAUUGGAAGGGAAAAUCAAAGUCUGAUUGUAUGCAUGAAUACCAAUCCUUGAUCACCUAAGAAUUUCCUGCAUAAGUAAGAAUAUGUUAAAAACGGAAUGUAGAGAAAGACACGAACUUAAAGUAUGUGAUUUGAAUUGUAGGGAUCAAGGAAGAAAGCUCGAGUCGUUCCGGGUCGCAAACAAACAACGACAAAGGUAAAGCGACUUAUUAAAUGGCGUUACUUGGAUCGAACACAUUCAUGAUGCACGCUUCCGUGAAGAAACUAGUUUUAGUCAAAACUUUUGUUAAAUGCUUUUCUUUUGUUCCAAACGGGUCUUUUGUAAGUUUUAUGAUCCGAAAGUAGUAGAUGUUGAACUUGUAGUUAAAAGACUAUGUUAGUAGUUUAUGUAAUGUUUGGGUUAAAAACUUUUGUAGUCGUUAUGUUGUUCGUUACCAAGUUAAAUGCAGAAUUUUGGUUUGUAAAUUAUUCGACCCGUUUACUUCUUUGUUAAAUGAAAGUUCGUUAGUGUCCUUUUUUAAGUUUUAGACCUUACAGCAUAUGUGUUCAUUUGUCAUCUCUAGCUAACUGAUAUAAUAUUAUUCGCAUAACAAUGACCGUUUUGAACUCUGAAAACGGUAUAGCAACAAUAUAAUAUACACGUGUUUCUGAAGUUUGACCGAGAUGACACAAUCGAAACUGGUUGACCGAGUUACAAAUACGAAUGUCAUAAACUGCGCAUUAUUGGCAACUAUACAUGUUCAAUAACAAGAACAUGAUGUGCACACACAUAAUUCUAGUUCUGUUUCCUGAAGAUCUCAGUAUUGGCCUGAUAUGCCAGAUAAAGUUUUAAUCAAUGAUUUUAUAUACCUUGAUCUACAUUUCGCCCGGAAGCAUCGUAUCCCCUGGCAGGUCACAUACCGCAAUUCCCUGAAAGUAAACAAGAUUAUAUAAAAAAAAUGUUUGCGAGUCAACCCAACCCGUUUUCACUGGUAUCAGGUACUCACCUCUCCCGUUAAGUGUGCUACACAUUUCUUCUCGGCAAGCAGCUCGUCCUCAGACUAAAAAAAUAUGAAAGUGAUUUAGCAUUGUACCUUGUAAGAUAAAAAUAUUAUAGAUUUGAAGAGUGAAGAUUUCGAGUACCUUUUUAAUUCUUUUCCAUAGGUAGUCAUCGAAUAUCACGUCUUUAACAAGCUCGUAAUCGCCAUCCCCCUAACCGAAAAAAUUAACGGAGUUGAGAAAUACAAAUUAGAAGAAGAGUUGAAACUUA